rnacentral:lncRNA from 1 species
UUCGUGUUAUCGCGUAUCGUGUCAACUUACGUUUUGUGUAAUCGUAUUGUGUCGUUGAUAUAGUUUCGAUCAACUAUGAGGGAAUAUCCAGGAGUAUAUCCAGUCGGAAGUUGGCAUUUUGAAGCUGUGGAAUCCCUACGUGAAGCUGUCAAUCUCCAAAUCAAACCCUACCAUCCGGUGUUGUCGAGUACCUCUCCACCUCGCCCACCAUUUCCGUCUGGUCUACAUCAAUUGCCAGUCGUAUUGAGCCCUCUGUUGAUUGGUUUAACAACCGUGAUCAUCCAGAGCUAAGACUCAAUAUCAGUAAUAUAUUCUCGCAUUGUUC